ACAUUUUUAAAACCUCGCCUUACGAAAAGCGACUAAACUAUCGACUUCGCGGAUUCUAGUCUCGCGGUUCCCAAAGGGCACGCUACAGUAUGAUGCGAAAUACUGGUUUUGCUUGAACAGUGCUCGAACGUCAUCGCGGCGUCUAAAUCCCUAGCUAGUCAUGGUGGUGGUCGUUAAAAAGUAGAACAGGAAUACUUGAAGACUGCAAUAGGUUCUGGAAUAGAAGAUUGAAGAAAUAUAGACAGAGACCUGAGGAGGUCGCUGUCUGAUGAUGAAGCAAGUUCUUUGGAGACUAUGCAGUCGGUGGACCGAUGAAGAUGCUGUAGCUUGUCUGUCCUUCCGUUGACGCUACCAGCUCCACUGAUUUCAGAAUCACUGGACUUUCUGCCUCCGGGUUCGAGACCUAAUCUUCUGACCCAGUCCACGCCACCGUGAGGUCCGAUAGUCAAAUGGUGGCUAUAGUUUUCACCACCUGACGCUUCUUGUUCGUUAGGUAGCCACUCUCUUGAACGCCUUCCUGCGAGCGCACGAAGAGUAAUACUACCCCUGGCAAAAAGGGUUCAUCAAACAAACUAAACGUUUGUUAUCAAUAUUUCUUAUAUUAUGGGUCCAGGAAAGUCAAUAGUAAUAGUAACACAACAAUAAGACGUUGAACAUAUUGCCUAUUUGAAAAAGGUAUUAAACAGAUUUCAACAGUUAGCCACUCCACGUCGAAGAUCAUCAAUCUUUUCAUUCCGUCUCUUUAACGAAAGCACACUGUUUCCCACUGUCCACGUGAACUCUCCGCCAAGGGUAGUAAAAGCUGCGUUCACGAAGAAUCAGACACUGAGCAAGACAUAUAAAGGCGAAAAGGAAGAAAGGGACAUAGUCGAACCUCGUUCUCCGCCAGGAAUGGAGCACCUAGGUGAAUUGUGAAGGUCGCGAAUGCUGCCCAUGUUAAUUUCAGUCAGGAAAGGUGUACCUAUAUCGCUGCCGGUUGCGCUGCCUGGUGUCUGGGCAGCGGACGGUGUUUCCGAGAUUCUUGGCACGGAUGCGGCGCUGGGUGUCGGCGGGCUGCUCGGCGUCUGAGUGGUCGAUGCCAGGGUCGGCGUGUCUGGGAGACUGGGCGAGGUCGCAUCUCCGGUGCGAUCGGAAAGCAGUUGUUCUUCGCUCUCUCCGUCUGCUGGACUCACCACGAAUCUCCCUGAGUUCGAGCGAAAUUAAUAGACGGUAGGAGAGAGGACGAGAGAUGAGUGGGCGGACUUCAUGGUGCACCCGAUCAAAGGAGGACGAGGAUGGAUUCGCCGAUGGAUACUGAACCUCGAUGUCCUUAUACUGUUUUAGACUUGUGAUUUAUUUUCUGGGGUUCAAUGUUAACGAUUUGCCAGUUUCUGUACCAACGAAGAAUUUAAUGUGCAAAAUUUAAAGGAACCACUGUUCAAAUAUUAACACUUUUUGCUUAUGUUUUGCAAUAUUGAAUACUUGAUCCUUGCUUUGGAAGAAUGAAGUUUGAACUCUCUUGUGUAAAAUGAUUCUAUAAUCCUUUCUCGAAAUUUAUUUUAAUAUCCUUUUAAAAAAUUACAUUUUUUUGUAACCUUCAACGAAACUUAAACAUAAGAAAUUCUCCAAGGAUCACUUACUGGGUAUUGUAGGUUAAAGUUCAAAGAAAAGAAAGGAAGAAUUCAAGGAAUCCUAAAACUAAUGAUACUAGAUCGACUGAGGAAAUUUUAACACUAGGUUUAUGGACGUUCAUUCCACGGUUUAUUCUAUUGUAGCUAGAAAAAUUGAUGUUAAUUUAUUUAGAUCUUGGAAAUUAGGGAUUUAAGAAUAGACUUUUAGACGUAAAAGUUUAUGAAGUAAUGUUUAUAAAAGAAUUUACGGAUUCACAAAGAAAAUAUAGUACUGUUUACAUUUCAACGUUUAAAAAUUAUUGAUAUAAGUUGACAUUAUUGAGGAUGGUAAAACGUGCAAUUCGGUUCAAUAUCGAUCGGGUAUUGGGUCAGGUUUUUCCUGUUAUCGGAUAAAUAGGUUGACGAAGGUUAACGAAGAACAAUUAAGAGAAAAGAAUUAAUUGGAUUACAAAGUGAGUAACAUCGUAAAUUGCUUACCUAUUACUGUUGCGGGUUGCUGUUCUGGUGACGGAGUUGAAGACAAUCGUCUAACGGCUUCCCUUCUCAGAAAUUCCACCUUGGCCAUUUCAGUGGCCACCCAGUGUGGUAUGUCGGGUAUCGCGCAGAUUAUGAUGAAUCGUAUCGCCAGCAUGAUAUGUUCCAGAGCGACGAUCAACAGUAUCGUCUGCGUGGCAGACAUCUCUGGGAACAUUCGUUGCACCUGACCGCUCAAUCCGAUCAACGCGCAGUUCACCAAUAUGGCGACCAGUCCCAUAGCUUCCAUUGCAUUCUAACAAAUGAAAUGGUUCAAAAUAAACUAUUAAA